CACCUCGGCUUUCUCGGCAGAGCCAGCACACCCAGCACACCCUGCCGCCACCAGCGUGGCUGGGAUGGAGGAGCGGCUCUGGGGAGGACGCCGAGGCUGCUCCGGAGCGAGCCCUUAGGGAAACCAUGAAGUAACCCUGCACAUUCCAGUAACACAGUUAUGACAAAACAGAGCCCAACUAUGAAGUGAUCAAAUUUUUUUAAAUGUUAAGAAAGAAAAACAGCACAAACAAACGUGCACAUAACAAUUCAAGAUUUCUUUAAAAAAAAAAGAAAAGAAAAGAAAGUAACUUACCUGUUGGGACAUUCUGAAUAAAAGUCUGCAGACCGAGAAAUCACAAUAAUACUUGAAAUUACUGCCGGGAAGAAAGAUUGAAGAUUCACAGACACCCAAGAAAUCCAACGCUGCUUUUAGAACUAUCACAAAAAGCCCCUCUGUUGAUGGAACCCCCUUAUAUGAAAUUCACAGACCUAAAAAAUAUACUUAAAAAGUGUAAUAAUGCCAGUAUACUUGGUUUUAAAGUCUUCAGGAAACCACAGAGACUAUUUUAUAUACAUAUAUUUUUAAUGAAAUGUUUAAACAAAGCAAAUUUGAAUGGACCUGGAAAGUGUUUUCAAAAUUAAGAAUCCCAGAACACGCCAGAAGCUCUUUAACAGCAAGUUAAAAAUGUAAAGAAUUAACAGGUGGCUUAGGUCUGAAUAGUAAUGAUCUUCUCCAGUGGCAGGUAGUUGCUGCAAGAGGCACAAAGAAGCUUAUGUGGUCCAGGUGAUAUUCUGUAUCUCCAUCUACUUGGUGGUUCUGGAGAUGAUAGCUUUAUAAAAAUUCAUCAAGCUGCAUACAUAUAUGAUUUUUGCACUCUUCUAUAUGCAUGUUAUACUUCAGUUCUAAAAGUUUGCUACUGCUACUGUUAAUGGUAAUACUACUAAAAAUAGUGGUAAUAAUUUAGAACUACGUUUAAGAAAGAAAAGUGAAGGAAAAGAAAAAAUGAAAGUGGUAGAGAAGGGACAGAAAAAGGCAGAUACUUUAUUAACAUCAAAAUUCAUUCAAGUAACUGUCAUUAAAUGUACUGCUCGCUGGCAACAAGUUUUUCAAAGCUACGAAGUGUUAGGAAUCAUGUAAAUAUCUGAGUUUAACAGAAUGAGGAUGAAUGUGAAAGACAGUAAGUGGGCAGGAGAAAAUAUGUAAUUAGGUGAGUGAUACCUUAACUAGGCAAUGCAAUGUAUCCAAGAGCCUUAAAUGGAAAUGAACACCAUACCUCAAUUUGAAAAGCACCAACCUCACAAUUUAGGAUCCUUAAACGUGCUCACAAGUCUGGCUCAUUGAGCCUGUCUUCUGAUUUAUAAUUAUGGCUAUUUGGGGGGUGGGUAAUUUGGAGUAGGCAUUGAGUGUGCCUAUAGAGAGACUGGGGAGGAAAGUACUCUCCAGACAGUACUACUUAGAGGCACUAAGUUCAAGACAUAUUUUUUAAAGCAAUUGUAAAUAAAACACUCUGACCAUCCAAACCCUUUUUAAAAGUUAAAUCUCAAAG